AUGACGAGACCGAAGUCGUCCCGCGCCGUCAGCCGGCGUCUGGCCGCGGCGCGGGUUCCUCCGCUGCGCCGCCUGCUCGGGGCGGCGGGCAAAAGCGUCGUGCCGCGCAGGGUUUGUUCGGCAGUCGGUCGAAGAAACCCCGAGGCGGGGCAGCGGCGACUAGGCGGCCGCGAAGGCGGCUUGCUUCCGCAAGGCGGUGAAGCAACCGCAGACGGUGUCGGCGUAAGUUCAAACUCUUUUGUGUACUUUUUUUCUUUUCUCUGGUGGCUCCUGAAUCCUUGUCUUUUUCUCCAAACAACCAGAGCUCCAUUGUCGCUCGAGCGGGCGGCUGCCGCCUCCGUCGUUGAGUCAUCGAGGGGAUCUGGGAGCACCACUCGCCGCGUGGACCCCCGUGCCGAUCUUCUGGCGGCGACGGAGCGAAACGCGCGGGAGGUGCGGGAGAAGCGGGAGGCGCGGGAGGCGGAGGUGGCGAAGGCGGCCGCCGCCAAGGCGGCGCAGGAGGAGGAGGCGGCGAAGGCGCGCGCUGACGCCGCAGCGAGGGCCCAAGCAGAGGCUGCAGCUGCGGCGACGGCGGAGGGGCCUUGUUGGUCACCCCACAGCGCGUCACAGCGCCUGGGGCCCCGAAGCCCCGGAGCCCCCGCCAGAAGAAGCCGGCGGUGA
rnacentral:rRNA from 1 species